GUGCUGGAAUUAGCAGAUAUUCAACUAUUUGGCCAUCUCACUGACCUGUUGAUAUCAGAAGACCACAACAGCUCUGCAAUGCAAGUUGCAAAACAGAAUCCAUGAAACUGGCAGUGACCGGAAACCAAUUGGAAGACUUUGGUUUAUGAUGUAGAGAAGUGGGCAGACGCAGAAGCAAAGACAACAAAAAACAGAAGUGAUGUGGAUGUCUUCGCCUUAUAGCAUGACACUGUCAAUCUAACAACAACGAGAAGGGCGUUCAACAUUAUCCUGCUAGUAAGGACUCUUCAAGAGAACAAAUGAUUCUUGUGGCAGAGAUGGCCAACCAUUAUAAAUACCAAAUACCUUUCAACUCAUCCUGGUUCCUUCAGAGAACUGUCCUGCUUGUGUGCUACUGAAAAAUACGACAUGUGGCCUAAACGAAGAGGGUUUAAAAGGUCUGUGGAUCAUCAUUCUCAGAAAGCAACAAAAUAACUGAGAAAAAAAAAACUACGACAGGAGGGUGCAAGCUAGAGACCUGCAAGGUACCUGCAUGUUUUGGCCGGAGCA